rnacentral:rRNA from 1 species
GACAGAGGGUGCAAACGUUGUCCGGAAUUACUGGGCGUAAAGCGCGCGUAGGUGGUCCACCAAGUCGGGGGUGAAAGCCCAGGGCUCAACCCUGGAAUUGCCUCCGAGACUGAUGGACUCGAGUUCGGGAGAGGAGAGCGGAAUUCCGGGUGGAGUGGUGAAAUGCGUAGAGAUCCGGAGGAACACCGAAGGCGAAGGCAGUGUCCUGGCGAGUGACUGACGCUGAGGUGCGAAAGCCAGGGGAGCGAACGGG